AUGGAGACAGGGGCACUGGGCCCCACCUGUCCUCUAUCCAUUUUCCCAGGUCCAAGGGAGGAAUGGCUGCUGCCAGGUGAACAAGGAGCUGGUGAUGUAGGACACCAACUACAUCAGCCCGGCAGCGACACGAGACCUCAGAGCAAUGAGGACACCCACCUGUCCAUAACCAGCAUCCAACGGGCGCCAACCUGCAGGUCCAGAGAUCACCGGCAGAUGGCGCUGCUCCCAGGCCCGCUCCUCGUGGCCUUGCUGGCUCUGUGCUGGGGACCCAGUGUGGAAGGGUCACAGGGUACCGUCCCGCUGCAGACCCUGCGCUGCUACAAUGACUACACCAGCCGCCUUGUGUGCAGCUGGGCAGACACCGAGGCUGCUGGGCUGCUGCUCAUCAACGUGACCCCCCACUGGCGGUUAAAAGGGUGAGUGAAGAGGAAGAACCGAGGGAGGCAAACAAGGGCUGUGUCUCCAGGGUGCCUGGU
ensembl:lincRNA